rnacentral:lncRNA from 1 species
AUUUCAGGGCGACUUUGGGAACACAAUAGUCGACUCGCCGACGUUCCCUUAGACGCGUUGCCAUACGUCGUCACCCAUAGAAACGGCUUUCCGCGGGGCAGACUCCAAGUCUCGCCUGUGUGAGCGGGCAGGGGUAGCAGGAAAGGCUGUUUUUCAUUUCCAAGAGAAAACCGUCACCCCGCCCACCUCGAACCUCCUCCCAACAUCUCAGGAUAGAAACGCCGCGCUCAGGUGAAUGAGAAAUGUUCUGAUACAGGAAAGAGGAGUUCGUGUUUCUUUCAGAAGGUGACCGUUUUCCUCCUUCUGAGGUCACGAGCUGUCCGUCCGAUGCCCAGAAUUCCGAGGCCUGAUGUGGCGUGUUUCCGGUAGCUGGGCUCCUCGGAGAGCUGUGGGAAGAGGCGCGGGCGACCGGGGGCGUCAGCGAGCCCUGUCUUCGCCUGCCUUCGCCGGCGUGGACUCUUCCCAGUGCCCGUCUUCCCCCGCGAAGUAAUAGUGUCCUGUAUUUCCUGACUGUAAGAAGAAUAGUGCUUUUAAAAAAUGCCUGCUCCCUGUAAUAGCAGCAGUAGUUCGAGAGUACAUACAUGUUUAUAAAAGAAACUUAAACUCUCAUUCUUGCCACAGUGGAUAAUACUAUUAACAUAUUGCUACAUAAAUUUAGAAUUUUCAUACAUACACGUAAAGGUGUUUGGUUUUUUAAAACAGAAAAACGUAAGCGCGUUAUCUCCCAGUAAUGUCUUUGCAGGUAAAUUAAAAUAAUUACAUAUAUAUUUAUAUUUAUAUAUAUAUAUUUUUUCUAAGAGAUGGGGUUGUUGCCCAGGCUGGUCUUGACCUCCCGGGCUCAAGUGAUACUCCCACCUCAGGCUCCCAAAGUGCUGGGACUGUGGGCAUGAACCACCGGGUCCAGCCUACAGAAUCAUUUUUAAUGGCUGUAUGGAUAUCAUAAUUUGUUCAACCAGUCCCUAAGUUGUUGGACUUUUCAGGUAUUGACAGCUUUUCAGGUCUACAAUCCUAGAUGAAUAUUCUUAUAUGUAAAUCUGUACAUGUCCCUGAUUAUUUUUUUACAAUAAAGUCAUAGAAAUAAAAUUACUGGAUCAAGGAAAAUGCACGUUUGUAAGACUCUAAAUGAUAUUACCAGACCCUCCCCUAGAAACCUAUUUACUACUUUUCCAUUAACAGUAUGAGAAGGAAUAUGCUCUCUGCAUCUCCUUGCUAAUCUUAGAUAUUGUCAGUCUUCGUGAUCUUUAUCAUCUCUUUAAAAAAGACUCGUUUUAAUUUGCAUUUUGUUGCCUAAGUGUAAAACUGAACAUCUUUCAUAUAAUUAUUGGCUCUAUUUUUGUGAAUUACUAGUUCAUGACUUCUGCCUAUUUUUAAAAUGAAAUAUUCACAUUUUAGAAAUUACAAGUGCUUUUUGUAUGUUAGAAAUAUUUUUAAAAUGAAAUAUUCACAUUUUAGAAAUUACAAGUGCUUUUUGUAUAUUAGAAAUAUUAACCUAUGAUUGAGAUAUUUACAGAUAUUUUUCCUGUUUUUCAAAUUCAUCUUUUAAUAUCACCUAUGGUUUUUCGUUUUUUUUUUUUACUGAAGGAAGUUUUUAAUUUUUAUGUAGAUAUGUCUAAUGAGUCAUUUCCUUUGUUUCUAGCUUUGAUGUCAUGGUUACCUGUAUUUUCUUCUAGCAUUUUUAGAGUUUUAAAAAAAUAAUUUGUCGGGUGCAGUGGCUCACGCCUGUAAUCCCAGCACAAAUGCUAUGCAUUUACAUUGCAUUAGGUAUUAUAAGUAAUCUAGAGUGAUUUAAAGUAUACAGGAGGACGGAUGUGGGUAGGUUAUAUGCAAAUACUACAUUUUAUGUAAUGGACUUGUUAUCCGCGGGGGUUCCUGGAAACAGUCGCACACAGAUAUCACGGGAUGACUGUACUAAAUGUCCGUAUGUACUUUUUCUGCCUCAUUGAUUUAUCUGUUGCUGGGCAGUAAUACUGUUUUAACAUACCUUUAGAUGAUUUAAAAAUUUCUGAUGGGAUAAAUCUCUGCUUACUAGUCUUUAAGAAUUGUCCUUAAAAAUAUAUUUAAUACACAUAAAAUAGAAUUUUGUAAUAUAUGUAAGUUUAAAAGCGUAAUAAUAUGAAGCCAACCUCAACCUAACCUAGAACAUUACCAAUAGUGUAUAAAUCUGUGCUCUUCCCAGGAUGGCAGAGGCUAUCCCUGCCAUCCUCUCCAGAGAUAUAUUAUUUCUUCCAUGGUAACUUUAAACUUUGUCAAAUUAAAAAACAAUUGUGGCCGGGUGUGGUGGCUCAUGCCUGUAAUCCCAGCACUUUGGGAGGCUGAGGCGGGCGGAUUACCUGAGGUCGGGAGUUCGAGACCAGCCUGACCAGCAUGGAGAAACGCCCCCCCAUCUCUACUAAAAAUACAAAAUUAGUCUGCUGUGGUGGCGCAUGCCCGUAAUCCCAACUACUCGGGAGGCUGAGGCAAGAGAAUCACUUGAACCCGGGAGAUGGAGGUUGCGGUGAGCCGAGAUCACACCAUUGCACUCCAGCCUGGGCAACAAGAGCGAAACUCUGUCUUAAAAAAAAAAAAAAAUUGUAAUUUUGAUUGCGAUUGCAGUACUUUUAUUGACUAAUUUAGGGGAAACAGACAUCUUUAUAAAAGUAAUACAUACUUAUGUAGUUUCUACAAAGUGUUAUUUGUGUUAUUUAAUCCACACAACUAUUAUCACCCUCAUGUUACAGAUGGGGUAACCGAGGCAUAAAGAAAUUGAAUAAUUUGGCCAGGCGCGGUGGCUCACGCCUGUAAUCCCAGCACUUUGGGAGGCUGAGGCGGGCAGAUCACGAGGUCAGGAGAUCAAAACCUCCUGGCUAACACGGUGCAACCCCAUCUCUACUAAAAAUACAAAAUAUUAGCCGGGCAUGGUGGCACGGACCUGUAGUCCCAGCUACUCGGGAGGCUGAGGCAGGAGAAUUGCUUGAACCUGGGAGGUGGAGGUUGCAGUGAGCCGAGAUCACGCCACUGCACUCCCACCUGGGUGACAGAGCGAGACUCCAUCUCAAAAAAGAAAAAGAAAUUGAAUAAUUUGUCCAAAGUGAAGCUGCUAAUAAGUGGCAAGGUCAAAAGUCAAAGCCAGGCAAUUUGACCCCAGAGCCUGUCCUCUUGUCCUGUUGCCUUUCCACAAUAUGGACGUGCUCAUCUAUUUAUAAUGCACAUGCCAGGCAGUUUGCUCCAGCACUUCCCCACAUCCCAGUUGGCAUCCUUAUCCUUUAUUAACCCGCUUCUCCCUUGCCAUAGCUGAUUGGAAUAGAGGCGGGUAGAAAACUGAUUCAAGCUGGUCCAAUCAGAUUCUCUUUCCUGGAAAUGUGCAGUUACAUGGUUUUAACUUGUCUCUUGACCUAGAAAGUAAGGGAAAAGGAGGGAGAGAUGUUUGAUCUACAUGUAUGCAGUACAGAGAAAGCAAGGCUGCAGAAAGAAGCAGAUUCACAGAGAAGCAGUUAUGAAGUCCUGUGGCCCCAGAGGGGUAUGAUGGAUUACCUGCCCAUGGUUCUGGGGCUUUCCAGGUCCUAGCUUGCCACUACUAAGGCUCUACUGCCCUGUCCACUCUUAGGGAUCUCCACAAGGUACCCCCUCUCCUCCUUCAAAUAGACCCCUUUUUGGCCAGACGUGGUGGUUCAUGCCUAUAAUCCCAGCACUUCGAGAGGCAGAGGCAGGGGGAUCACCUCAGGUCAGGAGUUCGAGACCAGCCUGACCAACAUGGCGAAACCCUGUCUCUACUAAAAAUACAAAAAUUAGCCGGGCAUGGUGGCACGCGCCUGUAAUCCCAGCUACUCGAGAGGCUGAGGCGGAAGAGUCGCUUGAACCUGGGAGGCGGAGGUUGCAGUCAGCCGAGAUCGCACCACUGUACUCCUGCCUGGGUGACAGAGCACGACUCCAUCUCAAAAAAUAAAUAAAAUAAAAUAAAAUAAAAUAAAAUAAAAUAAAAUAAAAUAAAAUAAAAUAAAAUAAACCCCUUUCAAUUUAAGCUCACCUGACUGACUUUUCUUUGUUUUGAAACUAAAUAUGCCACCUGAAAACAUGUGGUCCUCCAUUUACCCAAGUUUUCUUUUAAAGUUUCCCAGUAGCAUUUUCUUCACAUAGAUCCAUACAUUUCUUGUUCAGUUCAUUCCUAAAUAUAUUUUAGGUGGAUUUUUUUUUUUUGCUCUUUGCAAUAAUUUCAGUUUGUCAUUCCCCCUUCACAUCUUAAUCUGCAAAAAUUUGGCUUUCAUCUGUUGAGACUACCAAAUGUCAAUGGCUUUUAAAUGUGACAUUAAUCUUCCAAAUGCAUUCCAAAAUAAUGUUAUCCACUAGAUAUAUUUUAUAGUUCUAUGCUUUGAAAUUGUUCUGGCGAUGAUUCAUAUGAGGAUGACGAUGAUUCAUCUGAUGUAAGUGAGCCACAAGGAUCCCAAAGAAGUAUAGAAUUUCCUAUAACCUGAUUUAAAAAGAAAGUCUAACAUAUGAAUAGGAACAUUGAAUUUCCAACACAUUCAACUGAUAUUAAAAUAGAUAAAAUGAAGAAAACUACUUUCAAGACUGAUUUUCACAUACAAAACAAUAAGAUAACAGAGGGUAUAAUUUGGAUAAAUAUUUAGAGUAGACUAGAUAACAGAGAUUAAGAGAAAUUCAUAUCUCAUUCUUAGCAUAGGGACAUAAUCCUGUAUCCAAAUUCUUUCUUGCCAGAUGUGUUUCAGAACUGAGAGUUAUCAGGAUUUUAGACAGGAAUAUAAUGCAUAUCCCAUAUAUUCUGUAACAGCCCAGCAGGAUCUGGAGCAGAAUCUUGUAAUCAAACCAAAAUAUGCAUGCAAAAAAUGCAUUAGUAUUAACCAUAAGUAGGAUAAACAAAGGCUAGAAACAGAUACACAUCUGUUCAGGUCAGAUUUUGCUGCUAAAUGAGUUUGCCACGAACUUAUGAAAAACUUCAGGUUUCUACAGUUUUUUUCUUUGUUUUGAAAUUUUAGACUAUGAUUUGUAGACCUCUACAAGCAAAUAUGUUCAGAUUUCAACAUCUGGCCAGAUGUGAGUCAAAGAGUUGUUUUCAAGGCUUGGCUGUGUUAGAUAGUCUUGUGGUUUGGGGUGUUUAGUCUGAAGGCAAAGAGUGCCCUUUUUUUUUUUGAUACAGAAUAUUGCUCCAUUGCACAGGCUGGAGUGCAAUGGUGCAAUCUCAGCUCACUGCAACCUCUGCCUCCCUAGUUUAAGUGAUUCGCCUGCCUCAGCCUCCCAAGUAGCUGGGAUUACAAGCGCCCGCCACCACGCCUGACAAAUUUUUGUAUUUUUAGUAGAGAUGGGGAUUCACAAAGUUGGCCAGGCUGGUCUCGAACUCCUGACCUCAGGUGAUCCACCUGCCUUGGCCUUCCAAAGUGCUGGGAUUACAGGUGUGAGCCAUCACGCCCAGCAAGAGUGCACUUUUAGAAGAACAAAAUACAGACUUUGAAGCAAUUAUUAAAAAAAAAAAAGGUCAAGUUUUCUGUUUGUUUGUUUGUUUGUUUGUUUUUAAUCAACUUGAAUUCUUGACCUUUGUUGUCCAUCAUUAUUUCAGUGUGGUGUUUUGGUUGAAAUGAACUGCAAUAAACACAAAAACUUCCGAGUAAAUCUUAACUAAAAAAACCUUAAUGUAUUUUUCCUUAAACCUAUCAAUCAAGAGAUCCUUGCCUUGAUGUUUUCAUUUCUUAUUUCUAGUACAUAGGAGCAUUUCCUUCUAAAUAUCCUAUGGCUGUACAGAUAUUGCUUCAGUUGAAUCUAUUAAAGUGUCAAAAUUAAGGAAUUUAUUCAGUCAUCAUAUAAAUUGAGUGCCUAUUCUGUGCCAGACUCUGUGCUAGGUGUUGAGGAUACAGUCUGGUGAGCAAGAAACAUUUAAAUAAGAUUUUACAGUAGAGUAUGAUAGGUGAUGAGGUAAGUACAGUGUGUCAUGGAACACCAUGUAUUGAGAUGAGGGAAGGACUAAAGGUUAAGUAAUAAAUCAGGCAGGUGAAGAUGAGGAGGGAAAUUUUAAAAUGUUCUAAGACAGUUAUUUUCAAAGUGUGGUCCAUGAAUCAGCAGCAUCAGCAUCAUCAGGGAACUAGUCAGAAAUUCAGAUUCUUGACCCAUACCCCAGACCUACUGAAUCAAUAACUCUGGAGAUGGACCCCAGGAAUCUGUGUUGUUGUGGUUUUGUUUUUUGUUUUUUGUUUUGUUUUUUGUUUUUUUGAGACGGAUCUCCCUCUGUUGCCCAGGCAGGAGUGCAGCAGUGUGAUCUCUGCUCACUGCAACCUCUGCCUCCUGGGUUCGGGAGAUUCUCCUGCCUCAACCUCUCGAGUAGCUGGGAUUACAGGCACGUGCCACCAUGCCCUGCUAAGUUUUGUAUUUUUAGUAGAGAUGGGGUUUCACCAUGUUGGCCAGGCUGGUCUUGAAUUCCUGACCUCAAGUGAUCCGUCCACCUCCGCCUCCCAAAGUGCUGGGAUUACAAAAGUGAGCCACUGUGCCUGUGCUAUAUAACAUUCUUGAAGUAACAAAACGAUAGAAAUAGAGAACGGAUUAGUGGUUGUCAGGGGUUAAGGAGGGGGUGGGGGUUGAAGGGAAGUGGGUGUGGCUAUAAAAGGGCAGCAUGAAGGAUUCUGGGGUAGUGGAACUGUGGAAAUACUCUGUAU